rnacentral:misc_RNA from 1 species
CGACUUGCUUGCUUCUGCGACUGCUACUAACACUGUGCCUUUCUUGCAAUAUUAAAUGCACCCUCCUUUCUUCUUUCUUUCGCAAUCAUAUCUCCUGUAAAACAAUCCCUUCUUGAUCACUUUUCUUUUUCUCUCUGCUUUCGCUUCUUUGGAAUUGAAAUGAAGUUGCUUUUUUGUUUGUAUUUGUGGGUUCUGUGUGGUCGAGGACUGCUGGUUAUGGCUGCAAGUAGUGACAGUAGCAGUGCGCAGAGGAAGCUUGAUCAGACACCCACAUGGGCUGUUGCUGGUGUUUGUGCUGUUAUGAUCAUCAUUUCUAUUCUCUUGGAAAAGGGUCUUCACAAAUUUGGAACGUGGUUGACAGAAAGGCACAAGAGAGCUUUAUUUGAAGCCUUGGAGAAAGUUAAAGCUGAG